rnacentral:rRNA from 1 species
AACGAACGCUGGCGGCAUGCCUAACACAUGCAAGUCGAACGAGACCUUCGGGUCUAGUGGCGCACGGGUGCGUAACGCGUGGGAACCUGCCCUUAGGUUCGGCAUAACUCCCCGAAAGGGGUGCUAAUACCGGAUAAUGUCUUCGGACCAAAGAUUUAUCGCCUUUGGAUGGGCCCGCGUUGGAUUAGCUAGUUGGUAGGGUAAAAGCCUACCAAGGCGACGAUCCAUAGCUGGUCUGAGAGGAUGAUCAGCCACACUGGGACUGGGACACGGCCCAGACUCCUACGGGAGGCAGCAGUGGGGAAUAUUGGACAAUGGGCGAAAGCCUGAUCCAGCAAGGCCGCGUGAGUGAUGAAGGCCUUAGGGUUGUAAAGCUCUUUUACCCGGGAUGAUAAUGACAGUACCGGGAGAAUAAGCUCCGGCUAACUCCGUG